rnacentral:rRNA from 1 species
UUAAGCGACUAAGCGUACACGGUGGAUGCCUUGGCAGUCAGAGGCGAUGAAGGACGUGCUAAUCUGCGAUAAGCGUCGGUGAGGUGAUAUGAACCGUUAUAACCGGCGAUUUCCGAAUGGGGAAACCCAGUGUGUUUCGACACACUAUCAUUAACUGAAUCCAUAGGUUAAUGAGGCGAACCGGGGGAACUGAAACAUCUAAGUACCCCGAGGAAAAGAAAUCAACCGAGAUUCCCCCAGUAGCGGCGAGCGAACGGGGAGGAGCCCAGAGCCUGAAUCAGUGUGUGUGUUAGUGGAAGCGUCUGGAAAGGCGUGCGAUACAGGGUGACAGCCCCGUACACAAAAAUGCACAUAUUGUGAGCUCGAUGAGUAGGGCGGGACACGUGGUAUCCUGUCUGAAUAUGGGGGGACCAUCCUCCAAGGCUAAAUACUCCUGACUGACCGAUAGUGAACCAGUACCGUGAGGGAAAGGCGAAAAGAACCCCGGCGAGGGGAGUGAAAAAGAACCUGAAACCGUGUACGUACAAGCAGUGGGAGCCUCUUAAUGGGGUGACUGCGUACCUUUUGUAUAAUGGGUCAGCGACUUAUAUUCUGUAGCAAGGUUAACCGAAUAGGGGAGCCGAAGGGAAACCGAGUCUUAACUGGGCGUUAAGUUGCAGGGUAUAGACCCGAAACCCGGUGAUCUAGCCAUGGGCAGGUUGAAGGUUGGGUAACACUAACUGGAGGACCGAACCGACUAAUGUUGAAAAAUUAGCGGAUGACUUGUGGCUGGGGGUGAAAGGCCAAUCAAACCGGGAGAUAGCUGGUUCUCCCCGAAAGCUAUUUAGGUAGCGCCUCGUGAAUUCAUCUCCGGGGGUAGAGCACUGUUUCGGCAAGGGGGUCAUCCCGACUUACCAACCCGAUGCAAACUGCGAAUACCGGAGAAUGUUAUCACGGGAGACACACGGCGGGUGCUAACGUCCGUCGUGAAGAGGGAAACAACCCAGACCGCCAGCUAAGGUCCCAAAGUCAUGGUUAAGUGGGAAACGAUGUGGGAAGGCCCAGACAGCCAGGAUGUUGGCUUAGAAGCAGCCAUCAUUUAAAGAAAGCGUAAUAGCUCACUGGUCGAGUCGGCCUGCGCGGAAGAUGUAACGGGGCUAAACCAUGCACCGAAGCUGCGGCAGCGACACUAUGUGUUGUUGGGUAGGGGAGCGUUCUGUAAGCCUGUGAAGGUGGCCUGUGAGGGUUGCUGGAGGUAUCAGAAGUGCGAAUGCUGACAUAAGUAACGAUAAAGCGGGUGAAAAGCCCGCUCGCCGGAAGACCAAGGGUUCCUGUCCAACGUUAAUCGGGGCAGGGUGAGUCGACCCCUAAGGCGAGGCCGAAAGGCGUAGUCGAUGGGAAACAGGUUAAUAUUCCUGUACUUGGUGUUACUGCGAAGGGGGGACGGAGAAGGCUAUGUUGGCCGGGCGACGGUUGUCCCGGUUUAAGCGUGUAGGCUGGUUUUCCAGGCAAAUCCGGAAAACCAAGGCUGAGGCGUGAUGACGAGGCACUACGGUGCUGAAGUGACAAAUGCCCUGCUUCCAGGAAAAGCCUCUAAGCAUCAGGUAACAUCAAAUCGUACCCCAAACCGACACAGGUGGUCAGGUAGAGAAUACCAAGGCGCUUGAGAGAACUCGGGUGAAGGAACUAGGCAAAAUGGUGCCGUAACUUCGGGAGAAGGCACGCUGAUAUGUAGGUGAAGCGACUUGCUCGUGGAGCUGAAAUCAGUCGAAGAUACCAGCUGGCUGCAACUGUUUAUUAAAAACACAGCACUGUGCAAACACGAAAGUGGACGUAUACGGUGUGACGCCUGCCCGGUGCCGGAAGGUUAAUUGAUGGGGUUAGCGGUAACGCGAAGCUCUUGAUCGAAGCCCCGGUAAACGGCGGCCGUAACUAUAACGGUCCUAAGGUAGCGAAAUUCCUUGUCGGGUAAGUUCCGACCUGCACGAAUGGCGUAAUGAUGGCCAGGCUGUCUCCACCCGAGACUCAGUGAAAUUGAACUCGCUGUGAAGAUGCAGUGUACCCGCGGCAAGACGGAAAGACCCCGUGAACCUUUACUAUAGCUUGACACUGAACAUUGAGCCUUGAUGUGUAGGAUAGGUGGGAGGCUUUGAAGUGUGGACGCCAGUCUGCAUGGAGCCGACCUUGAAAUACCACCCUUUAAUGUUUGAUGUUCUAACGUUGGCCCGUAAUCCGGGUUGCGGACAGUGUCUGGUGGGUAGUUUGACUGGGGCGGUCUCCUCCUAAAGAGUAACGGAGGAGCACGAAGGUUGGCUAAUCCUGGUCGGACAUCAGGAGGUUAGUGCAAUGGCAUAAGCCAGCUUGACUGCGAGCGUGACGGCGCGAGCAGGUGCGAAAGCAGGUCAUAGUGAUCCGGUGGUUCUGAAUGGAAGGGCCAUCGCUCAACGGAUAAAAGGUACUCCGGGGAUAACAGGCUGAUACCGCCCAAGAGUUCAUAUCGACGGCGGUGUUUGGCACCUCGAUGUCGGCUCAUCACAUCCUGGGGCUGAAGUAGGUCCCAAGGGUAUGGCUGUUCGCCAUUUAAAGUGGUACGCGAGCUGGGUUUAGAACGUCGUGAGACAGUUCGGUCCCUAUCUGCCGUGGGCGCUGGAGAACUGAGGGGGGCUGCUCCUAGUACGAGAGGACCGGAGUGGACGCAUCACUGGUGUUCGGGUUGUCAUGCCAAUGGCACUGCCCGGUAGCUAAAUGCGGAAGAGAUAAGUGCUGAAAGCAUCUAAGCACGAAACUUGCCCCGAGAUGAGUUCUCCCUGACUCCUUGAGAGUCCUGAAGGAACGUUGAAGACGACGACGUUGAUAGGCCGGGUGUGUAAGCGCAGCGAUGCGUUGAGCUAACCGGUACUAAUGAACCGUGAGGCUUAACCUU